rnacentral:rRNA from 1 species
CCCUUAGAUGUCCGGGGCCGCACGCGCGCUACACUGAAGGAAUCAGCGUGACUUUCUCCCUGACCCGAAAGGGUUGGGAAACCCGUUGAAUCUCCUUCGUGAUAGGGAUUGGGGCUUGAAAUUGUUCCCCAUGAACGAGGAAUUCCCAGUAAGCGCGAGUCAUAAGCUCGCGUUGAUUACGUCCCUGCCCUUUGUACACACCGCCCGUCGCUACUACCGAUUGAAUGGUUUAGUGAGAUCUUCGGAUUGGCGCCACUGCGGCUCAGCAAUGGGCUCGGUGGAUGCCGAAAAGUUGAUCAAACUUGAUCAUUUAGAGGAAGUAAAAGUCGUAACA